GGAGGAUUUUUUCACACUGGUGUUUUCAGUGUGGAAACGGUUUCUGCUGCAGUUUUCUGAAGUUCCCGAUGGACUAUAUCAUUCUGUUAGUCAUAUGGAUCACCGCUGUUUUCUUUGAUGGAGACUGGUACUUGUGCAUAAGUACAAUGAAGGACCCUUCCCAAACUGAAAUUCCUUGCAGGUCAAACCUGACUGACAAGGAGAGCCGCAUCAAAGCUGAAAUUAAGAUUGAAUCGCUUGUGAGUAACAUGACUUAGUUUUUAACCACAUUAUUAAGGUUGCUGGGACAUGAUAUUGAUUUGAGAGGGAGAGAUAAAAACAUCCAAGUGUCUCUGAUAUUGUAGGAUUUUACAAAAUUAUUGAAUCACGUAUGUAUACAUUUUUUUAACCGUAGUUGAUAAAAAAUUCCAGCCCCUGCAUCACUCUCAUUUUGCCAGUGUGAUCCCACUCUGCAGCUUGAAAUAAAGAAAAGAAUGAAAAAGGAAAUGAGAAACAGUUGAAUUUGGCUGACUGAAGUGUGAACAGCUGAGCUUUUGUUCACAGUUCAAAUCUGCUCCUUAAUUAGCACAACAGUUGUGUCUGUUCUCUAUUUUCUGUUGAAGUUAAAGAACUGAAAGAAACUUUGACUAGUUUGACUAAAACUUUAAAUGUCUUGAGCUUUUGUGAUUCUUGAAGUUUUGAGCGACCAUCUUAAACUUUUGUGUCUUUCUUUCCAGAACUACGGCCUCUACGUCAUCUGUUCCUUUGUAGUUCUCU